CUUGAACGCUGGCGGCAGGCUUAACACAUGCAAGUCGAGCGGAGAUGAGGUGCUUGCACCUUAUCUUAGCGGCGGACGGGUGAGUAAUGCUUAGGAAUCUGCCUAUUAGUGGGGGACAACAUUCCGAAAGGAAUGCUAAUACCGCCUACGUCCUACGGGAGAAAGCAGGGGAUCUUCGGACCUCGCGCUAAUAGAUGAGCCUAAGUCGGAUUAGCUAGGUGGUGGGGUAAAGGCCUACCAAGGCGACGAUCUGUAGCGGGUCUGAGAGGAUGAUCCGCCACACUGGGACUGAGACACGGCCCAGACUCCUACGGGAGGCAGCAGUGGGGAAUAUUGGACAAUGGGGGAAACCCUGAUCCAGCCAUGCCGCGUGUGUGAAGAAGGCCUUAUGGUUGUAAAGCACUUUAAGCGAGGAGGAGGCUACUGAGACUAAUACUCUUGGAUAGUGGACGUUACUCGCAGAAUAAGCACCGGCUAACUCUGUGCCAGCAGCCGCGGUAAGAC
rnacentral:rRNA from 1 species